UUUUAUAGCCGUUUGAAAGGGAACUUGCGGAAAAUGAAGAGAUCAUCGCAACUCAAGUUGCAAUUCCCUCUUUUUGAAACUGAUGUGUUCGAGGCCGUCUCCGGAGCCUUCAUCAUUGACUCGGAUCUCUCUUUUGAAACAUUGGAAAAGUUUUUUGCACCGUUUAUGAAUUCGGUCUAUGAUUCACCACCUGUCUCCCCAUUCAACCAAUUGGAAAAGACCCCGGGAAUAACCUUUCAAAAAGGAAAGGCACGCCCUGAUGGCAGACCGAACUUUUCGGUUUAUCGAAACGGCGUUCUUCUUGCAACCGGUACAGACGAUAAUUGAAAAAAUGCAAAGUUUGCUGCCUCUAAGUAUGCCGCAUGGAAGAUUGAGAUGGGACUUAAUUAACUUUUUUUUCUUUUCAUUUGAGCAUUGAAACAUAUAGCUGACUUUUUUGAAAAAAGUUUUCAGUUUCUUUUGGUUUCUUUUAUGCGUAUUGUGCAAUACGGUAUUGCUCUCAAUAAAUUUGAUACGGCAAUAGAUUUCUAAUUAAUUGCAUUCCCUGCACAGGUAACGAACUCUAGCAUGGAAAGGUGUAGGGAAAAUCUAAGAAUGAACAGCUAAGGAUACUACGAGGAGGUGCCGGUGGGGUGGCAGCUCCUCUCUUGGUAAGCAAAUUGUCUUGAUGCACUUUGCUUGAAGUGUUUAAAGCUCAAAUAUUUUCGAAUAUGAUGGUUUAACCACAGAAAAAAGUUGUGAGGUCAAUACCGGGCUUCAUAUGCAGUAGUUAUAUGUCGAGAAUAACUAACUCUGUUUCUAUAUUGUAUUAAGAACAAUGAUAGAAUACAGUUGAGAUAAGUGGGCAAAACUGAAUAGUUAAGGGGCUUGGAAAAUUAGAGAGAGAGAGAGAGAGAGAGAGGCCGACUCUCGUCGUCGUCGUCUUGUUCUGAACUGCCCGUUCUCGCCAGGGCGCGAAAGGGCUCGACGACUUUAGACGAAGGGGGAUGGGGAAAAGAACAGUGUUGACAAAUUAGGGCAAUAAUUUUCGACAUUAGACAAAUGAGAUUUUUAGUGAACCCGGAGGAGGAGGACGCAAGGGGUUGGGCAGUGCAGCAUUGGAACAUUUUUUGGAAAGUUCCCC